UCCGCGGUAGCUCAGUUGGUAGAGCGCUAGACUGUUAAUCUGGAUGUCACUGGUUCGAGCCCAGUCCGCGGAGCCA
rnacentral:tRNA from 2 species